CCUACGGGAGGCAGCAGUGAGGAAUAUUGGUCAAUGGCCGGAAGGCUGAACCAGCCAUGCCGCGUGAAGGUCAGUGCCCUAUGGGCGUUAAACUUCUUUUGUGCGGGAGCAAUAAUGGUCACGUGUGGCCAGACGAGAGUACCGUACGAAUAAGCAUCGGCUAACUCCGUGCCAGCAGCCGCGGUAAUACGGGGGAUGCAAGCGUUAUCCGGAUGUAUUGGGUUUAAAGGGUGCGUAGGCUGUGAGGUAAGUCAGCGGUGAAAUGCCCCCGCUCAAAGGGGUGAAGUGCCAUUGAUACUGGCUGGCUGGAAUGCGGAUGAGGUAGGAGGAAUGUGUGGUGUAGCGGUGAAAUGCAUAGAUAUCACACAGAACACCGAUUGCGAAGGCAUCUCACGAAUCCGCGAUUGACGCUGAUGCACGAAAGCGUGGGUAUCAAACAGGAUUAGAUACCCUAGUAGUC
rnacentral:rRNA from 1 species